rnacentral:rRNA from 1 species
AGCGAACGCUGGCGGCGUGCCUAACACAUGCAAGUCGAGCGAGAAAGGGGUGGCAACACCCUGAGUAAAGCGGCGAACGGGUGAGUAACGCGUGGGCAAUCUACCUUCCAGUCUGGGAUAACCUUCCGAAAGGAGGGCUAAUACCGGAUGAUGUCCUGUUGGGGCAUCCUGAGGGGAGCAAAGGGGGCGACCCGCAAGGGGCUCUCGCUGGAGGAGGAGCCUGCGUCCGAUUAGCAGUUGGUGGGGUAACGGCUCACCAAGGCGACGAUCGGUAGCCGGCCUGAGAGGGUGACCGGCCACACUGGGACUGAGACACGGGCCCAGACUCCUACGGGAGGCAGCAGUGGGGAAUCUUGCGCAAUGGGCGAAAGCCUGACGCAGCGACGCCGCGUGGGGGACGAAGGCCUUCGGUUGUAACCC